rnacentral:rRNA from 1 species
GACGAAUGCUGGCUGCGUGCUUAACACAUGCAAGUCGAACGGUGAAGGAGGGCUUGCCCUCCGGAUCAGUGGCGAACGGGUGAGUAACACGUGGGCAACCUGCCCCUCACUCUGGGGUAACGCCGGGAAACCGGCGCUAAUACCGGAUACGACCAGGCGCGACAUCUCGCCUGGUGGAAAGAAUUUCGGUGAGGGAUGGGCCCGCGGCCUAUCAGCUUGUUGGUGGGGUAACGGCCCACCAAGGCGACGACGGGUAGCCGGCCUGAGAGGGCGAGCGGGCACACUGGGACUGAGACACGGCCCAGACUCCUACGGGAGGCAGCAGUGGGGAAUAUUGCGCAAUGGGCGAACGCCUGACGCGGCGACGCAGCGUGAGGGACGAAGGCCUUCGGGUUGUAAACCUCUUUCAGCGGGGACGAAGCGAAAGUGACGGUACCCGCAGAAGAAGCACCGGCUAACUACGUGCCAGCCGCCGCGGUAAGAC